UUGCCUGAAAAUUUAGGUCUUUCAGACUUUUGGUACAUAGCUCCCUAAUACCGUGGGAAUUAGGGAGUUAUCAACGUAUUCAUUCCCAUCCAUUGACGGGUGACACCUGUUACAUGUGAACUAGGGAUGUGUAUGGGGAAAAUAUUCGGUUCCUUUUGGCAUUUCCAAAAUUCGGGACUUCGGCACUUCGGUUUGUUUCGGCACUUCGG